rnacentral:misc_RNA from 2 species
AACGCACCUUGCGCUCCUUGGUAUUCCGAGGAGCAUGCCUGUUUGAGUGUCAUUAAAUUCUCAACCUUUUCAGCUUUUACAAGUUGAAUUGGCUUGGAUGUGGAGGUUUUUGCAGGCUUCUCAGAAGUCAGCUCCUCUUAAAUACAUUAGCGGAACCUUUGUGGACCAGCUUUGGUGUGAUAAUUAUCUACGCCAUGGUUGUGAAGCAGCUAUUACAUGGGGUUCAGCUUCUAACAGUCCAUUGACUUGGACAAUUUCUGACAUUUUGACCUCAAAUCAGGUAGGACUACCCGCUGAACUUAA